GCUUAGGAAUCAGAUCGGGUGGCUAUAGUUAUUGUUUUUUUUUUAUGUUUGAUCCUGAAAUUUUGACCAAUAUCUGACCGAUACCAAUCCUGAGUAUCAGAUCAAUCGUCCCGUAUGAUCACCUGCCAUCGCUUAUGAAUACAAAGAAUUUAGAGUUCUGACUUUGGCCUGGAUAUUGAUGCAGUAGCAAAGGGGCAUUGUCAGGCUAUACGGAUGGUACACAACGCUACAAAUAGAUUCCCAGUGACCAAAUGGCCGUCCCUGCUCCUUGAGUCCACGGCAGUUAAAUACCUUAUCUCUUCAACAGACUCAUUACGUGCCAUUGACCGUUCACUGACCUGCUGUUAAGGUCUUUGAUUGAAGACGAAGGAUCGCGUACAGCUUUGUACCUUUUUUGAUGUAAUUUAAUUAUUUUUUUAAAAUAUUUAAUUAUGGUAUUUAACAAGAUCUGUUUGUUCAAUUAGAAAUGUAAAUGUUAAGAAAGCAAUAAUGCAUCCAUUUUUAAGGAACAAGGGGGACCGGAGCUAAUCCCAACAGUCAGGCGAAAAAGCUGAUAUUAUCUUUUUGGAAUUACUAAACUGUGAGAAAAAAGACUUGAUAUUUGUAAUAUAUAUAACAGUAGCGCUGUUUCAAGCCGUGUUAGCGUUUGUUCAGAUCGGCAGGGCAUGUGGUAGAUGGGAAGAUAAGUCGUCUGUCGGAUGACAAACAGAGAUGCUUUUGUUUGUCAAAAAAAAAACAACCCAACAACUUUUCAUUAAUGCUCAAGAGACAGCACUUUGCCCGUGUCUAUGUUGACAGUUACAUUCAUAUUCUUCUUGUUAUCCACUGAACUAACUAACUCGAAAUAGGUUUUAUUUAGUUUAGUAAUUAUUGGACCUGACACUGUAUUUUAAGAGGGAAAAAAGAGAGAGAGUUCACGCAACGUUUUUGAUAUCUUAAAGUCACUACAAAAAUAAUAUAAACUGCAGAUAUUUUUCUGUUGCACAAGAUUUUAUUUGCCCUACGUUUGGGUUCACAGGAGCCCAUUUUCAUUUAGUACUUCAUUCUGGUCACCAAACACCUUAUUUUUCCCUUUCUCACUAGAGCUAGUUGAUGGGCCGAGAGAUAUGAAGGAUUCUGUUUCACAUCUUAAGGGUUUUUUUGUUUGUUUUUUUUGAGCAAAUCGAUGCAAUAACCUGCUACUUAAACAAAUGCGGAAUUCAUAAUGCGCUGCAGUAGUUAUCAAUGGAGAAGAAGGAGAUUUUUGUGGAGAGCACCUUAUCACCUGGGAUCUCGAGAUGAGAGACACACAAAGCUGUAUACCUGCUGUUUAUCCUCCAAUGUUGAUCUGGUAGAAAUAGCUGGGAAAACAUAUGCAUUCCAGAAUAUUGGUAUUUAAUGACCUGAGGAUAACCUUGCAUCUUCAAGCCCCAUGUCUCGCUUUAUUACAUGCUUUGAUUAAUCCAGUGGUUUCCAACCUUUUUUAUCUUGUGACCCCAUUUUGACAUCACAACAUUUUGGCGACCCCCCGGAGACAGUUUUCGUUUGCUUAUAUGUUGUCUGUUUGUUAUAUUGCGUUGCAAAUAGACAGAUUAGUGCAAGGAGUGACAUUUGGUUUUCCAGGUUCACAUGUAAAGUUAGGCAAACUUUGAAAGCAGUGGUUCUCAAACUGUGGUAUGUGUACCACCAGUGGUACGUGAGCGCCCUCUAGUGGUACGUGGCAAAAAUUCCUAUUUUCACAUUUACAUUUUCAAUUGAAUAAAUCUGAAACAUACCAUGCUCAAUUAAUACAAAAUUUAAACAUAAACAUCUCUCCUGUAUGGUGGAAGCUAAUUGGGUAGGUCUAUGCUGCUAUAUUCUAAUGUUGGUCAUCAUGGAGCUCCAUGUUUUCUCAGGUGGUACAGAGUAGAAAAACCACUGCUAUAGAGGAUUAUAGUGCUUUAGUUUCAGCUUAUGUUUAUCAUUUAAUUUUACUUUUAUAAAGACAUGUCAGGGGACCCCGUUUCAAUUCCAGACACCUCCACGUGGGAUUGCAAACCCCAAGGUUGAAAAACACACAAUUAAUCUAUCAUUAUUAUUAUUAUUUUAUUUAUUAUAGAUUGCUGCUUUACCCGUUGGCCUCUGCAAGCAUUUCAUUAGCACGGUGGUUAGCUUGAGUAAUAAAGUAGAAAGUUUGGUCUUCGACAAACAUCUCUUGCGAUGCGUCUUCACAUGUGAGAUCUUUGAUUUGUUGCGAUGUAAGAUCAAAUUGAACUGCGAGCGUGCUCCCGCGCUGCCUUUCAUGCUGCUUCAGUAUCACGGCACGGAGAAAAAAAAAAGAAAAAAAACACAAAGCGGCAAGGACUGAGGGAAAUCUGCAGUGUUCUGCCACUCAACAUCCCCCUCAUUCCCAAACAACGGCGUCUCUCUGCCACUACAAAUACAUUAGAAAUCAAUUAUUUAUGGAACAAAGUCAAGACCUCUUUUAUCUCUUCCUUUUAUCCAAUUAAAUUGUCUAACCAUUCCAAGCCUUUAUAGCUCACAGGAAAGAUACUUUUCUUUUCUUUUU